CUUGCUGUCCUGCUGAGGCCAAAGGCCCACCUCGGGACAGACAGCCGGAGAAAGUGCCGCUCUGGUUCCGGGCACACAGAUACACGGGUCAUUUGAUAUGAUUGAAAAUGUGUUUUCAGCAAUGUCGGAUAAACCGUCAGGCCUCAGCACGAAACGUCGACUGUUUAUCAUUCCCAUAGAUACUGCCUGUGACUUCCUCCAGCAUUCUGUCUGUGUGUUGCUGCUCUGGAUUUCCAGCAUCUGCAGAAUCUCCUGUGCAAUGUGGUGGAUGCUGAGUUUAAAGUUAAUGACUUCUGAAAAUGACUUCUGAAAAAAUAACUGUUACUAUUCGUCUGGUUCGUUCCUUUGAAUAUCGCAAUUUCAAGCCAGUGGUUUAUCAUGAUGUUGAUGUAAACCAGUCUGUAAAGGAAUUCCUUGCCUUUCUCCAGAAUGAUAUACCCUCAAAGCCUGGACUCCCGCCACCUUUUAAGAAGUAUGCUUAUGAUACAUUAAAGAUUAUUCACCAAGCACAUGGGGCAAAGACAAAUGACCUUGUUGUAAGUUUGGAUAAUGAUGAUCAACUUGUAUUAAAGGAAUUAAGCACACUAAAAGAAGCAGGAGUGGCAUUGUAGAUGGAGACUGAAAGCCUGCCGUUGUUCAACAACUGAUUCAGGUUUUCUCCUGAUGCUGCUGUGCUGCUUUUGUUGUCCUGCGCACUCUAUAUUUUCAUUAUGUUGAUGCUCAAGAAACUGAAAUGGCUUUUUUUAAGAAAGAAGAUUAUGAAACUUUCAAAAAGAAUCCUGUAAUGAACUGGUGACAAUAAUAAGAUUAAAUAACCAGAAAUAUGACAUUCUAUGAAUGUGUUGAGAGGAUUGUACACAUAAAAGAAUUUUUUUCUUUCCUGUUUAAAUAUUAUUUGUGAAAACAUGCAUUUUAAUUUGUCUGGUUUAUUUGUAUUAUUUCACUAUUUUUACCAAUUGAGCAGUUAUGUACACUUUUGUAAAGAUCAACUUUAUUCACCAUUUAUGUAGCUGUAUUAGGAAUUUGCUGUGGUGCAACAAAAUUCAAAUAUUAAAAAUAAAGUAUUAUAAAAAGUUAAA